CCAAUUUGAGGCAAUAUGUGAUGAAUACAACAUCAAAGCUAAAUUGGACUAUAUCAUUAGUGACAAUGCUGUUACAUGCGCAAGGCAUUUACGGUCUGCUUCCCCAGCGAACAGGAGGAAGAUGAUGAUGCUGGAGAUAAUCUUGAUGAUCCUGAGCUAUGGCAUGACUUAACCCUAGAAGACCAGCAAACCGUCGAUGCUGCUAUGGCAAAGAAACAGCGCCUGCACAAAAGCUCUGCACAGUUCUUGAGAAGGCAUAAAGAACUGUCAUUCACACCACAAGAGUGGAAUCUGCUGAAGGAGUUGGUGGACAUCUUGAAACCGUUCAGAGAAGCAACUGAUUUGACACAGGGGGAGAAAGUCAUUACAAUCAGUGCAGUUGUUCCAUCCGUCUUGUCCCUCAAUUACCAUCUUGAGAAGCUGAAGCCUCAAGUUCGUUUCCUGAGCGGCCUGGUCAGAGAAUUGAUCCUGCAAGAUGCUGCAGAGACGGAGCAACCUGUGCCUGUGCCAGUGCCUGCUGAAGAAGAACUAGAGGACAUGGAAGGAGAAGGCCUGUUUGCUGCAUACCAUAAGAGGCAGAAAAGGGAUGUUGGGACCCCACCAGCAGUACAGCUAAGUCACUACAUUGACAUGGCAGAAGGACAGAAUGCCCUUUUGUUCUGGGCACUGAACAGUAAGACUCUUCCUUCACUCUUUCAAGUAGCCGAGUCUUGGCAGUGCCUGCUUCUAGUGCUCCAGUGGAGCGAGUUUUCAGCCAUGCUGGCAUCAUUCUGCGUCCCCAUCGUGCACAAAUGACUGACAGACUUUUGGCCAAUUUGAUCUUUUGCAAAUGCAAUGCAGUAUAGGGGCCUCCCUCCACCUGUCCACAGCACGCAUGCGCACCCACACUCACUCUCUGCUCAUCCUGUCCACACAGCUCUCUCACUCACUCACUCACUCACUCACUCAUUCAUACACACCAGUCUCUAUGGAGUCAUUCCAAUUAUAUUAUCAGGUUGGUCCAGUUUUUCACAAGUGAUCAUUUUGAGGAGUGAGGAUUUUAUUGAUGACAUGUUUAAAAAAGUUUAGGCUAAAAGGACCCAUGUCUAUUUGAAAGUUAAACUGUUUUGCAAUAUGAGGUCAAUACAAU
ensembl:lncRNA